rnacentral:rRNA from 1 species
GACGAACGCUGGCGGCGUGCUUAACACAUGCAAGUCGAACGGAAAGGCCCUGCUUUUGUGGGGUGCUCGAGUGGCGAACGGGUGAGUAACACGUGAGUAACCUGCCCUUGACUUUGGGAUAACUUCAGGAAACUGGGGCUAAUACCGGAUAGGAGCUCCUGCUGCGUGGUGGGGGGUGGAAAGUUUCGGCGGUUGGGGAUGGACUCGCGGCUUAUCAGCUUGUUGGUGGGGUAGUGGCUUACCAAGGCUUUGACGGGUAGCCGGCCUGAGAGGGUGACCGGCCACAUUGGGACUGAGAUACGGCCCAGACUCGUACGGGAGGCAGCAGUGGGGAAUAUGGCACAAUGGGCGGAAGCCUGAUGCAGCAACGCCGCGUUCGGGAUGACGGCCUUCGGGUUGUAAACCGCUUUCGCCUGUGACGAAGCGUGAGUGACGGUAAUGGGUAAAGAAGCACCGGCUAACUACGUG